rnacentral:lncRNA from 1 species
GCGUAUAUACUCGCAAAUAAAAUUGUUGGCCAAGAUACUGUCUUGCCCAGAAUUGAGUCCUCAGGUUCCACAUUCCUACAUUAUCCAGGGGUAUAUAUAUUGCUGUCCAUGAUCUUGGAUAAACCUGUCAAAGCCAAUACAAAAAUUCACAAGGCUUCACAUUUGUACUUCUUAUUAUCCAACAUUUCAAAAUGACAUUGAUAGAAUUAUUAUUCAUGGUGUCUUGAUAGAAUUAUUAUGUUUUUAUGGCUCUAUCCUUUGCCCUGCCACAGUGCAAAGCAUUCUUUGGAAUAGGAUAUUCGUCGCGGAAUGAUUGAACUGGUGUAUAUACUCGCAAAUAAAAUUGUUGCCCGAGGUAUUGCCUUGCCCAGAAUUGAGACCUCAGGUUCCACAUUCCUACAUUAUCCAGGGGUAUAUAUGUUGCUGUCCAUGAUCUUGGAUAAAUCUGUCAAAGCCAAUACAAAAAUUCGCAAGGCAUUACAUUUUGUACUUCUUAUUCAACAGUAGCAAAAUGACAUUGGGUAAUGAGUUCAUCAUUAAAUUCUAACCUG